GACUCUGAGAGAUGGAUCACUUGGCUCGUGCAUCAAUGAAGAACACAGCUAGCUAUGAGAUCUAAUGUGAAUUGCAGGACAGAUUGAUCAUCGACACUUUGAACACACUUUGUGGCCCAGGGUUACUCCCAGGGCUACACCUGUCUGAGGGUCA